CACCAACUUAUGGGUUAAAGAUUUUGUACGAUAGUUACUUCCAAAAAGAAUUUAGAAUUAUUUGGCCUACUUCUUGGCUUAUUUCAAAUAAUCUAAAAAAAUACAAUGAACAAUUGUAAUUGAGCCAUUUUUAAGCCACCAGGACCUAAAUUUUGAAUAAGAUGUAAGCAGAGGCUCUUACCCAUUCCUUAGCCCAAACCUCUCAUAAAUGUGGUAAAUUUCUUUUCAUUUACCAAAAACUUAGAGGAAUUUCUGCUAAAUGUAAUAAUAAAGUAAUUUAAUUUAAAAAGGCAAGGGCAACACAGAAUUGUCAUUCUGAGAGGAAAUAGUAUGCCCCAGAAGAAAGUAGAGAUGAGCCAUUUUAGAACACUGGAGUCAGCUUGGGGAGGGUUCCAUUAAAGCUGAACUCAACACAAAAAUAAUAUGGUAGUGACAAUAACGAUUGCAUUUAUUGUAACUCAUACAUUACAUAAAACUGUAACUUACUAAAGUAUGGUUGAAAUAAAAUAAUGCUUGGGAUUUUCUACAAUAUACUUCAGUGAUAGGAGAAUAUAAAUGUGUUGGGUGAAACAAGAUUAUACGUGUAUUGGUAUUGGUAAAGUGUG
rnacentral:lncRNA from 10 species